CAGUAUAUCGCAUGAAGUAUACACUACAUCACAGGUACACAGUAUAUCGCAUGAAGCAUACAGUACAUCACAGGUACACAGUAUAUCACAUGAAGUAUACAUUACAUCACAGAUACACAGUAUAUCGCAUGAAGUAUACAGUGCAUAUUAGGUACACAGUAUAUUGCAUGAAGUAUACAUACAUCACAGGUAUACAGGUAAGCAACCCUGAAUGUGUUGACAGGUAACAGUGCUAUGUUCAGGUUCAACUUGUGUAAGGUUCAGCUUGUGUAAGGUUAUACGUAUGAUCUCAAUGUGUAUCUAUAUUGCUAGUAUGCUUGGAGGAAUGUGUCUCCACAAACAUAAACUGUGUGUCCAAAGGCUAACCCAAGAAUUUUCACAAUUGCGGUUUGUGCACGUGCCACAUGUCGGAAUCUAAUCUGCUUGGGUUACAAUGCUCAAUAAGUUGCCUGUCACUAUGGGAUGUACAAGAUUAUCAGAUGCCCAGAGAUGGCAAAUUAUCGGCACGUCCUUUAAAGCAAUGAAUUUCGACUACACAGGUAUCAGUCGAGUGGUCAGAAAAUUCAGAUAAACCAAUGAGGUGAAGCCAGUUUGGAGACAACGAAAUACAGCAUUACCAUUCAACCAACUGUUGCCUUUGCAGGUUCAGUCAUGGUGCGGGGAAGUGUCUCUUAUGACUGUAAACUUGAUUUGGUCACAAUACGGGGAAUUUGACGGGUGAUCAGAUUGCACUGGACCCUUCAUUUUGAUAAUCAUCCUCUUGUUACAAGAUCUGUAUUUAUGGAUGACAACGCUAGGCCAAACAGUGACAGCUUUCAUUCAGAAUAAUGCAGUGACUCACCUUCCAUUGCCA